AGCUUCUGCUCUGCUACACCUUCUCUUUUGUGGUGUUAGUCUUCAUCGGUGUUGGUUGUCAGUGAUCGGUCGAAUUUUUCGUGUUGGUCCUCGUCGGUUUAGUCGAUAGUAAGCGGUUAAAACUCCGUUUCCGUUGGUGUCCAUUGGGGGAUGUAUGAUUAGUCGGCGAAACAAUGGGAGAUUGCUUGGGAGUCUCAAAACAGUAUCUCUCUUGCAAAUACUGGGCAAAUGGCACAGCAUUUAGAUGAAACUAUGGAAGAUUGCGUAGGUGUCGCCAAACAGGCUCACUCAUGCAAAAGUGUGGCGAGAUCCUGACAAAUCUACCAAAUUUUGUAAUGGAUUCCUGGUAGUUCUUGACGUUCCAACAAGGUUGAACAGCCCAGAUGCUUUGUAAUGGAUUCCUGGUAGUUCUUGACGUUCCAACAAGGUUGAACAGCCCAGACGCUAAUGAACAGAGGUGUGAAGAGAUCCUGACAAAACCAGUGUCAAACUUUGUAUUGUAUUCUUGGUAGAACAUGACGUUCCAACAAGGUUUAGUAAUUCAGACGCUGUGACGUUCCAGCGAGUUUAGCCAUUCAGAGGCUGAUCAGCUUUGUUAAUCUUGAACACUUGCUGACAAGCCGGUGUUCCGUUUAGGAGGGCUGCUGUGGAAGUUGUGUGAUUCGGUGUACACAUCAGUGCAUCUGGGAAACCGCUUAUAGAUAAAUGUAAAAUAUAAAUCACUUGUUUAAAUAAUUUUGUCCUAAGGUAUUUUGAUUGGUCAUAUUAAGCUUUAGUGAAUGGGAUUGUUCAUAAUCCUGUAAAAGAAAUUUUAAGAGUUCCAUUACUACAUUGCAAGGCUUUUGAUCAGACUCCCAAUAUCUCCAAGGCCUGAGUCUUGGAGCAGCAAUUCCAGCAACUUCCAAAUCUCGGUUCAGUAAAGUAAUGCACAGCAUAUUGGCGCUUGCAUAAUUGGGUGACUUGACUGCAAUGGUCUUUGGCAAUUGGUGCUUAUAACAUGUAUACUAAUUACUCUUGAUAUAUUCGUAGACAUGAGUUAAAGACCUGAUAAGUGUAUGGUUGCUAUUGUAAGGGAAAGUAAGAGUACAAAUUAGCUAGGUGAAGUUUUAAAUCUAUCCUGAUUGGCGUUGAAGUGAAAUUGACCAUGACCAGAGAUGACAGAGGUUGUCGGCUAGUAAAACUUUUCCCUCAAGCAGGCAGUCGUUAAUUAAAUGGCUGAGUAUCACAUGUGAAACAUCAACUUAGUUUAAUUUCAGUGAAUUAGUUAUGGAAUAAAAUUGACGUUAAAUGUAUGCUUAAUGUUGAGUAUAGCUGCAAUUUCUUUGCCCUAUGAAAUUGAGAGUUUGAAAUUGUAACAUGGUUUCUUAAAAUGGCUGUUCAAUAAAAAAAUCUUUAGAAAGUUUUAACUGCAAAUUUGGUAGUUUACCCUGAAGGUGACCCCAUGCUUGCUUUCAAAAGUUUAAAACUUAGUGACAUCAUUAAGUCAUUUUGACUACUUAUUUGGUUUAGGUUUUAGCUUUAGUGACUCCAUUCCAACAUGGCAUUUUGACUGCUUAAUUGGUUAUGAGUUGAAAGCUGGAAGUUUAUUCAUGACCAGCACUAAGCUUGUGUUAGCUGUCAUAGCAAUGAUUGUUUUUUUAUAUGGAAUUACAGCGAAGUGUGCAAUACUAAAUGCCCCAUUAUCCAUACUGAAGAAGCAAGGCCCUUUGAUUGCAAAGAGUGUAGUUUUGAUAGACUAAAAACUUAAUACUGAGCUGGCUUUAGAGUAUCAUCGAAGACUAGUGAAAGCAACUUUGUUUAAUUUGUUUUAAGUAUCGGUUUUAAGAACAGACUUAAUACAGUACAACUAUAUCACCUUUGCGUGGUGGUGGUUGAAUGGUACUGGUGUAAGGAAAGCUGGUAUGGUCAAUUUCAUUAAGUUUGUUGCAUAGUGUUUUAAAGGCAUUUAAUACAGUCCUUGUUAACUUUCUGGAAGAGUUCUU